AGACCCGAAACCCGGUGAUCUAGCCAUGGGCAGGUUGAAGGUUGGGUAACACUAACUGGAGGACCGAACCGACUAAUGUUGAAAAAUUAGCGGAUGACCUGUGGCUGGGGGUGAAAGGCCAAUCAAACCGGGAGAUAGCUGGUUCUCCCCGAAAGCUAUUUAGGUAGCGCCUCGUGAAUUCAUCUCCGGGGGUAGAGCACUGUUUCGGCUAGGGGGCCAUCCCGGCUUACCAACCCGAUGCAAACUGCGAAUACCGGAGAAUGUUAUCACGGGAGACACACGGCGGGUGCUAACGUCCGUCGUGAAGAGGGAAACAACCCAGACCGCCAGCUAAGGUCCCAAAGUCAUGGUUAAGUGGGAAACGAUGUGGGAAGGCCCAGACAGCCAGGAUGUUGGCUUAGAAGCAGCCAUCAUUUAAAGAAAGCGUAAUAGCUCACUGGUCGAGUCGGCCUGCGCGGAAGAUGUAACGGGGCUAAACCAUGCACCGAAGCUGCGGCAGCGACACUGUGUGUUGUUGGGUAGGGGAGCGUUCUGUAAGCCUGUGAAGGUGUGUCGUGAGGCAUGCUGGAGGUAUCAGAAGUGCGAAUGCUGACAUAAGUAACGAUAAAGCGGGUGAAAAGCCCGCUCGCCGGAAGACCAAGGGUUCCUGUCCAACGUUAAUCGGGGCAGGGUGAGUCGACCCCUAAGGCGAGGCCGAAAGGCGUAGUCGAUGGGAAACGGGUUAAUAUUCCCGUACUUGGUGUUACUGCGAAGGGGGGACGGAGAAGGCUAUGUUGGCCGGGCGACGGUUGUCCCGGUUUAAGCGUGUAGGUGUGUGUUCCAGGUAAAUCCGGUUCACUUUAACACUGAGGCGUGACGACGAGGCACUACGGUGCUGAAGCAACAAAUGCCCUGCUUCCAGGAAAAGCCUCUAAGCAUCAGGUAACAUCAAAUCGUACCCCAAACCGACACAGGUGGUCAGGUAGAGAAUACCAAGGCGCUUGAGAGAACUCGGGUGAAGGAACUAGGCAAAAUGGUGCCGUAACUUCGGGAGAAGGCACGCUGACACGUAGGUGAAGUGAUUUACUCAUGGAGCUGAAGUCAGUCGAAGAUACCAGCUGGCUGCAACUGUUUAUUAAAAACACAGCACUGUGCAAACACGAAAGUGGACGUAUACGGUGUGACGCCUGCCCGGUGCCGGAAGGUUAAUUGAUGGGGUCAGCGCAAGCGAAGCUCCUGAUCGAAGCCCCGGUAAACGGCGGCCGUAACUAUAACGGUCCUAAGGUAGCGAAAUUCCUUGUCGGGUAAGUUCCGACCUGCACGAAUGGCGUAAUGAUGGCCAGGCUGUCUCCACCCGAGACUCAGUGAAAUUGAACUCGCUGUGAAGAUGCAGUGUACCCGCGGCAAGACGGAAAGACCCCGUGAACCUUUACUAUAGCUUGACACUGAACAUUGAGCCUUGAUGUGUAGGAUAGGUGGGAGGCUUUGAAGUGUGGACGCCAGUCUGCAUGGAGCCGACCUUGAAAUACCACCCUUUAAUGUUUGAUGUUCUAACGUGGACCCGUUACCCGGGUUGCGGACAGUGUCUGGUGGGUAGUUUGACUGGGGCGGUCUCCUCCUAAAGAGUAACGGAGGAGCACGAAGGUUGGCUAAUCCUGGUCGGACAUCAGGAGGUUAGUGCAAUGGCAUAAGCCAGCUUGACUGCGAGCGUGACGGCGCGAGCAGGUGCGAAAGCAGGUCAUAGUGAUCCGGUGGUUCUGAAUGGAAGGGCCAUCGCUCAACGGAUAAAAGGUACUCCGGGGAUAACAGGCUGAUACCGCCCAAGAGUUCAUAUCGACGGCGGUGUUUGGCACCUCGAUGUCGGCUCAUCACAUCCUGGGGCUGAAGUAGGUCCCAAGGGUAUGGCUGUUCGCCAUUUAAAGUGGUACGCGAGCUGGGUUUAGAACGUCGUGAGACAGUUCGGUCCCUAUCUGCCGUGGGCGCUGGAGAACUGAGGGGGGCUGC
rnacentral:rRNA from 1 species